rnacentral:lncRNA from 1 species
AAAUACUUUAUCUUCUCCCAGCCGCUGCUUGUUGUUGUCGCUGAUUCGUGUGAAAUUUGCAUAGAACAGAAAUGUUUCAUAUCUCCCUAUUUUCUUUUAUCGUCUUUAUGUUUGCUGGUUCAAUGAUUUCUUUUUUUUUUUUAAUUUUUUUUCUUUUUCUUUUUAAUUUUUUGCAUGAAAUUUUCAAUGGAAUUUUAGACGGAUCCCAGUUUUGUUUCAAAUCACUAACGAAGCUUCUUUCAAUAUUUUCAGUCACAUCAAAAACACUACUGCUGGGUCUUUGUUGAACUGUGGCCGAUAUUUGCUCAUGACUCAACAGAAAACAUCGUUCAACACUUCGAAAACAUCACGCACACACAGAGACACAUACGCAUUAACACACACACACACACACACACACACACACACACACACGCAUGCGCACGAACUGCUACAGCCAUUGGUAAGUAUGCUUUCCUCACGGCUAUCGUUAGCACACUGUGUAAAAUGCUUAGCGGCAUUUCUUCAAGUUCUGAGUUCAAAUUCCGCCAGGGUCGACUUUGCCUUUCAUCUUUUCGAGUCAAUAAAAUAAGUACCAGUUGAGCACUGGGGUUUAUGUAAUCAACUCAUUCCCCUCCUCAAAAAUUGCUGGCUUUGUUCCAAAAAUUGGAAACCGUUAUUAUUAUUAUUAUUAUUAUUAUUAUUAUUAUUAUUAUUAUUAUUAUUAUUAUCAUUAUUAUUAUUAUUAUUAUUAUUGAGUGAGUGAGUGAGAGAGCAGUGCAUGCCAUCAAAGUGACACUGGGGUAAAAUAUAAGAAGCCCAGUAUACCCACCAUGACUACCCGUCUGAUAAGGGUACACUAGGCACAUGCAUCACAACCAUAUGUGCGCGACAUGGUGAUCUCAUAUCAAGAUAAACAGCACAUGACCUUGCAGGUGGGGCCCAGUUUGAAUUUUCUUCUGGUCGAAUAACCCAUCCCGCUCAAAAGGUCCUUGAAUAAAGGUUGUUUCAGGAUGCUGAAUGAAUUACUCAAAUCCCAAAGAAUCCCUCUCAACACACGGUUAUGAUGCUCUCCCACUACUUCUGCUCGUGAUCAGAGAUGCACAUAACGUCAGACACUAAGGGACAUGGUCAACUGGUUAAGGUCAAACAACUGACAAGCAAAUUUGUGGUAUUGAGCAGAAUAUUUGCUGUAGCCCAUCUUUUAUACCAAGACAAAACAAUGCACAUGAUAACAAUUCCAGUCAGUUAAGAUCAGAAGCCAUGAGAGCCACUGCCUGGUACUGCAUCAAGGCAGUAUUAUCAUUAUUAUUAUUAUUAUUAUUAUUAUUAUUAUUAUUAUUAUUAUUAUUAUUAUUAUUAUUAUUAUUAUCAUCAUUAUUAUUAUUAUUAUUAUUAUUAUUAUUAUUAUUAUUAUUAUUAUUAUUAUUAUAGAUAGAUAGAUAGAUAACGUUUCGGUCAUAAUUAGCCCAGGUCUUAGCUAACUUAAUAGCACCACCAGGAAAACACGUGUAAUUAUGUGUGGUAUAGCAAUCAUUCUUCCACCAAUCUACCAACAAACCGUAAAUAAAUUAUUAACAUAGGCGCAGACGUGGCUAUCUGGUAAGAAGCUUACUUCCUAGCUACAUGGUUCCGGGUUCAGAUCCAUUGCGUGGCAACUUGUCCAAGUGAUUUCUGCUAUAUCUCCGAGCGAUCAAAACCUUUUGACGAGAUUCACGCCGACUGUCACGUUUGGAAAUGUUGAUGACUCUUCAGACAUUCUUGCCUGAAGCACUUCUAGUCAGCAUCUUUGACGAGACGUCAAUAUUUACAAAUGAAAAGCUGGCGUGAAACCGUCGGCAACAUUCUAACCAGAUAUAUGCUAGAAUCUGUAAAAUACUGCUCGAUAAUGUAAAAAAAUAACUAUUCGGCUUUUCUUUUAGGUUUUGCUUUUUUCGGACUUACGAACGAAUAUUAGUGUAUGGGGGGGGGCGAGCCUGAAUUGUGUGGUAGGCGUAUGGCGCGUGGCCUCAACAUUGAAUGGAUUCGAAAUCUGAUGUUAGGGUCUUUCUGGCAAUGCUUAUGGUAUACUCUUCACAUUGUGCAAAUAAUGUAGAGCUCACGGCGGCGCUGGAAAGAAUAAAGAUUCAAUGUUUUAAGGCGGUCUUUCAGCUUUCAUCAGGUGUCUUGAACCUGGGUUUUCACUCCUAAGGUAUUUUUCAAUGUUAUUAUUAUUAUUAUUAUUAUUAUUAUUAUCAUUAUUCAGAUCACUGCCUGGAAUCGAACUCGGAAUCUUGGGGUUAGUAACCCGCGCUCUUAACCACUACGCCAUACACACACACACACACACACACACACACACACACACACACACACACACACAUACAUAUAUAUAUAUAUAUAUAUAUAUAUAUACAUACAUAAAUGGAGGUCUCAAAAGUGAGAGACGGGACUAACUAGCACCGCUUUUGCUAAAAAUAGGAGUUUAAACAACUCAAAAACCACAAAACCACUAUCUUCAUUACUGACAAAGGGAGCUAAG